GCAAGAGGACGGUGACGUCACCAAAUAAACGUCAAGUCUUGCGUGGGAGCAUCUGCAGAAGAGCAUUUUGAUUUGCAAGUUGAUGGUUACUAUUUAAGGACUUAAUUUUUCAGUCCUGGAGAGUUGGGUGGAACAUGAGGACACAGGAAUUAGGUGACAGAUGGACACUUUUCCCUGCUAUUCUGAUUUUUGUGAAUCAGAACUAGAUUCUGUCAAAUGCGAAGGGGUAUGUGUGUGUUUUGAGCCUUGGCACCCGCCCGACAGAAGAUUCUGCUAAAGGAAAAUCAUCAUGACCUUCACCUGGGUUCUAGUUCAGUCCAUAACCCAGAGGCAAAGGGGAAAAAGCAGCUUCAAAUAUUUUAUUGGAAAAUGAAAUUGAUUCUUUAUUGGAUUCCCUCCAAAUGAAACUGAAGUGAUGAAUAAUGU